UAGUCCAGUGGUGUAACGGCAAUCAUGCCGGACAUUGGAUCCGGCGACAGCGGUUCGAAUCCGCCCGGGAUUAG
rnacentral:tRNA from 1 species